UACGGAGGGUGCAAGCGUUAUCCGGAUUUACUGGGUUUAAAGGGUGCGUAGGCGGGCCAUUAAGUCAGUGGUGAAAGCUCCGAGCUUAACUCGGAAACUGCCAUUGAUACUAUUGGUCUUGAAUUCGGUCGAGGUUGGCGGAAUGUGUCGUGUAGCGGUGAAAUGCUUAGAUAUGACACAGAACACCGAUUGCGAAGGCAGCUAGCUAGACCGACAUUGACGCUGAGGCACGAAAGCGUGGGGAUCAAACAGG
rnacentral:rRNA from 1 species